rnacentral:rRNA from 1 species
GACGAACGCUGGCGGCGUGCUUAACACAUGCAAGUCGAACGAAAAGGCCCUGCUUUUGUGGGGUGCUCGAGUGGCGAACGGGUGAGUAACACGUGAGUAGCCUGCCCUUGACUUUGGGAUAACUUCAGGAAACUGGGGCUAAUACCGGAUAGGAGCUCCUGCUGCAUGGUGGGGGUUGGAAAGUUUCGGCGGUUGGGGAUGGACUCGCGGCUUAUCAGCUUGUUGGUGGGGUAGUGGCUUACCAAGGCUUUGACGGGUAGCCGGCCUGAGAGGGUGACCGGCCACAUUGGGACUGAGAUACGGCCCAGACUCCUACGGGAGGCAGCAGUGGGGAAUAUUGCACAAUGGGCGGAAGCCUGAUGCAGCAACGCCGCGUGCGGGAUGACGGCCUUCGGGUUGUAAACCGCUUUCGCCUGUGACGAAGCGUGAGUGACGGUAAUGGGUAAAGAAGCACCGGCUAACUACGUG